rnacentral:lncRNA from 1 species
UGGAAAAAUCGAAGAGUCAAUGUAUUGAAAUAAUUUAGAGGAGAAACCAUAAUUCUGUUAUAUAAAGCCAAUACAUGAAAGAUAGCCCCAAUCUGGAAUUGUAUAACUACACACGUUUCACCAAAUUCACAAGAAUGUAAUGAAAACUAAAACUGAAUGUGUAAAAAAAAAUCUACAAUUAUGAAAUACAAACGAUGCAGGCAAUUUAUCUUGAAAGUUUGGACUUUUUUCCUUCUCUUUAUAUCUUCGUUUCUUGCUACACACUUUCAUCGGUAGUCUCCCCUGUUCAUUGCACUCGAGACGAUAGCCUGACAGGGCUUCAACAAGAGCAGAUAUUUUAUUUGUCAACAUAGAUAUCAGAAUUAUCGACUCCAUGAAUAUUUCUUUGGAAAUGUCAAUCCAACGAUUUCAUAUCGAGCUCAUAUUAGUUUUAGGCAUGUUCCCUCUGGAUCCUGCAUUUCUGAGCAGAACAUUAUAUUUGUAUCUUCUAAUUCAAGACUUGUUUUUCUCUUCAAAUCCUACAAUAUUUUUCCAAAUAAAGAAAUAAAUACAUAAAUAAAUAAGAAAAAAUGAUUCUAAAUUACAAAAGUUCAUGAUCAAGAUUAUUUCCGUUUGAAAAGGAAAAGUUAAAUCAUCAAUCGCAUAGCUCUAUUACUCUAGAAGUUAGUUUAUUACAUGAAAAUAAUUUAUCCACACUACAAAAAAAGAUAUUUUCAAAAAACUUAAAGAAGACACUAGAAAAAGAGCAAAUUCAUCAAGGAAAAAGUGAAUUAAUUCUGAUUAUAGGACCAAUAUACAAAUAUCACUCUGCCCCAAUCAUUAUUAGUUUCAACUCCCAUAUGUACCUAAUGGGAUUUGCCUCAGAUAGCAACAUAUUAUACCACAUAAAGUGAUCCUCAUCAACAUCAGCCAAAUUAGCUUGUGGCUCUAGAGUAGGCUAAUGGCUUCGAAUGCAGAGACAAAUAGUUAUGAAUAUUUAAUAGAAAUCACAAAUAACUAGAACAAUUCCCAAUUAUUUAUCAUACAAAACAAUAGACAUUCUGACUACCAUCUAUAGCACAUACGCUCCAAAUACGAAAACGACUAUUUUACAAAACAAAACAGGGCUACAAAUAAGUGAUCUAACAUAAGAGUGAAAAUGCUCUAAAUUUGGAACCACACAAUAUUGAAAUAGUGAUUGAACAAUAAACACGCCUCAAAGAUCAUAAAGAUUUGAAAGUUAAUCCCUCUAUUGGAGUUAUUUGAUACAAAUAUCACUCUGCCCCAAUCAUUAUUAGUUUCAACUCCCAUAUGUACCUAAUGGGAUUUGCCUCAGAUAGCAACAUAUUAUACCACAUAAAGUGAUCCUCAUCAACAUCAGCCAAAUUAGCUUGUGGCUCUAGAGUAGGUUAAUGGCUUCGAAUGCAGAGACAAAUAGUUAUGAAUAUUUAAUAGAAAUCACAAAUAACUAGAACAAUUCCCAAUUAUUUAUCAUACAAAACAAUAGACAUUCUGACUACCAUUUAUAGCACAUACGCCCCAAAUACGAAAACAACUAUUUUACAAAACAAAACAGGGCUACAAAUAAGUGAUCUAACAUAAGAGUGAAAAUGCUCUAAAUUUGGAACCACACAAUAUUGAAAUAGUGAUUGAACAAUAAACACGCCUCAAAGAUCAUAAAGAUUUGAAAGUUAAUCCCUCUAUUGGAGUUAUUUGAUGCUCAUAAUUAUAUUAUUUUGGGAUUCAAGAAAAAUGGAAGACAAUGAGCCAGAGAGGGAGAGAGAGGUACUUCCAGUGUUUAAUUACAGAGGAGAAGAGAAAUAAAUGCAUAAGAUUUACCUAGGGAAGGGGAUGGAGAAGACGCUUGCACAGAAAUAGAUACAUAUGAAUUACCUGGGGAGGUGAUGGAGAAGACGCGUGCAUUGAGAGAGAAAUAAGAGAGAGAGGGAGUUUUCUAGUGCUAAAUAUUUCAAGAGAACAUAAAAUAGAUACAGAUUAAUUGCGUGGGAAGGCAUAGGAGAGAGAAAAAGGAAAAAAAUAACAAAAUUUGCUGAUCUGGAAAAAUAGCGCUCACGAUCGCUCAUAUAUGUUACGCAGCAUAUCUUUUCUCUCUCUAUCUCU